CCCCCGCAGCCGGAGCGCGCCCGGCCCGGCCAGGAAUGUGGUCAGCGGUCGCCGUUCGCAACCCCUUAUUUGAGCCUCGAGGCGCCCCCGGGGCGGCGCGAUCUGCAGGGCAGGAGUGUACGGCCAACAGGCAUAAGGUUAAUUAUCCCUCCUCUGCCUUUGAACGUGCGCUGGACUUAGUGACCUGCUUCUGAGUAACUGGGUAGGGAAGGGGAGCAGCAGUAACCAUACAGUGGAGGAACCUGGCAGACGCCUCCCUGACCAAGUGAUCAAGGUUAACCCCACCUGUGGUAAGUCAGUGGCUGUUGUGUGCCCCCAGCAGCCUGUGAUGAGGAGGCUCCUGUGGUACCGAAGAGACCUCCAGCCUCGUAACUCUAGAGGAAAACCUCAGACCACCCCAGCUGAAGGACAUGCUACAAAAUACUUGAUCAGGACUCCUCAGAUCGGAAAGGGUCAUGAAAAGCAUGGAAAGACAGAAACAGGCACAGACCAGAGGACACACGGCGAGGCGGGGUGAAUGCCACAGCAUCACUGGUCGGAUCCUGGAACAGCAGGAGCAUUAGUGGAAAAGCUGGUGGAUCCAAAUAAGGUCUAGAUUUUAGUUAACAGAGAUGUACCCCUGUUGGUGGGUUUUUUUGUUUUUUUUUUUCUUUGUUUGUUUGUUUGUUUUGACAAAUGUACCCCAGUGGUGUGAGAUGAUAACCUUAGGGGGAAACUGAAACUGGGGUGAGGUUAGGCAGGAACUCUCGGUACUAUCUUUGCAAUUCUUUUGUCAACUGAAAAUUAAUUCCAAAAUUGAAAAAUUCAUUAAAAACAUAUAUGACUUG